GACGAACGCUGGCGGCGUGCUUAAAACAUGCAAGUCGAACGGACUUCUCAUGAAGCUUGCGAUUGAGAAGUUAGUGGCGGACGGGUGAGUAACGCGUGGGCAACCUGCCCCUGAGCCCGGGAUAACAGUUCGAAAGGACUGCUAAGACCGGAUAUACUUGCGGGGAAGCAUUUCACUGCAAGGAAAGGGAACGCUCAGGGGAUGGGCCCGCGUCCCAUUAGCUAGUUGGUGAGGUAACGGCCCACCAAGGCGACGAUGGGUAGCCGGCCUGAGAGGGUGAACGGCCACACUGGGACUGAGACACGGCCCAGACUCCUACGGGAGGCAGCAGUUGGGAAUCUUCGGCAAUGGGCGCAAGCCUGACCGAGCAACGCCGCGUGAGUGAUGAAGGUUUUCGGAUUGUAAAGCUCUGUCUUCCGGGACGAUAAUGACGGUACCGGAGGAGGAAGCCACGGCUAACUACGUG
rnacentral:rRNA from 1 species